ACUUCCUGAACAUCACUUUCUUUAUGCCACCACCAACAGAUUUGCCAGCGUGUUUAAGGAUUUUCUUUGUCUUGUUUCUCACUCUCUCCUUUGGGGGGUUUUUCCCAUUUCCUGCACGGUUCUCUUUCCCAUCUUCUGUUGGUGUUGUUGCUAAUGAUGAAGGCAAAAUGGUGUCAUCCACUAUAAUCUUCACUGCGAUAUCCUUAGCAUUAACUGCCCUAAGAUUCACACGUGGAGAUGAAACAGGCUCUCCAAGAUUGACCGACUUAUCCUCUUUACUUGAACUUCUCCGGAAGAGCGAGCUGAUCUUAU